rnacentral:misc_RNA from 1 species
AAAGUAAUAUGUAUUCUCUCGAAUAUACAUUAUAAACCCAUCUGUGUAUCUUACCCGUUGCUUCCGCGAGGCAGUGAUCUCGGUCACCUCCGAACGACGGCGAAAGCUGUCCGACGGGGAGCACUCGCGGGAGGUAUACAUCAAACUCUUGCAUUUUUAUGUCAUCUGUCUGAACUGUUUACAACAAAUGUUA